rnacentral:rRNA from 1 species
AUUGAACGCUGGCGGCAGGCUUAACACAUGCAAGUCGAGCGGGGUGAUGGUGCUUGCACUAUCACUUAGCGGCGGACGGGUGAGUAAUGCUUAGGAAUCUGCCUAUUAGUGGGGGACAACAUCUCGAAAGGGAUGCUAAUACCGCAUACGUCCUACGGGAGAAAGCAGGGGAUCACCUGUGACCUUGCGCUAAUAGAUGAGCCUAAGUCGGAUUAGCUAGUUGGUGGGGUAAAGGCCUACCAAGGCGACGAUCUGUAGCGGGUCUGAGAGGAUGAUCCGCCACACUGGGACUGAGACACGGCCCAGACUCCUACGGGAGGCAGCAGUGGGGAAUAUUGGACAAUGGGGGAACCCUGAUCCAGCCAUGCCGCGUGUGUGAAGAAGGCCUUAUGGUUGUAAAGCACUUUAAGCGAGGAGGAGGCUCUUUUGGUUAAUACCCAAGAUGAGUGGACGUUACUCGCAGAAUAAGCACCGGCUAACUCUGUGCCAGCCGCCGCAGUAA